rnacentral:rRNA from 1 species
UCGCCAGAGUACUACGAGCAAUAGCUUAAAACUCAAAGGACUUGGCGGUGUCCCAAAUCCACUCAGAGGAGCUUGUUCUAUAAUCGAUAAUCCACGUUUUACCUCACCAUUCUUUGCCCUCAGCCUAUAUACCACCGUCACCAGCUUACCUUGUGAGAGAACACUAGUUAGCAAAAAUGAUCAUAUCAAAUACGACAGGUCAAGGUGUAGCAGAUAGAAUGGAUAGAAAUGGGCUACAUUUUCUUAAAAAGAAUAUCACGAAUAACAUAAUGAAAUUUAUGUUUAAAGGCGGAUUUGACAGUAAGAUUGAAUAAUCAUAUUAACCUUAAACUGGCCCUGGGACGCGC